rnacentral:lncRNA from 1 species
UCUUAUACAUUAUUUAUUUAAUUUAAACAUCUUACAAAGUGUUAUAGUUUUAUCCUAUGGCCUAUUGCCCAACAACGUUUUAAGUAAAUAUACAUCAAAAGGUACGUUGCAGGGACAACAAAAUACUACCGCUGGUUGGCCGUUCCUUCUGUCCAAAAGAUUUAAGUGUCUCCCGCCUAAGGGUUACCUGCACACACAAAUGAGUCUUGAGCAACUAGUUUACUCAGUGAAUCUAGAAUCACAACACAAUCAAUAAUAAAUCAAGCAAUUAUCAAAUGCAUAUACAUAAUCAUGCAAGUACUAGUACUAUACUUUAAUAUCGAUCAUCAUUGUGAAUUCUUAUUUUAAACAUCACUUCCACAACACCCGCCCGUUACCAUACUCAUAUAAUACAAUAUAUAUACUACACCCGAGAAACCACUAAGGCUAACCGAGACUAGUGAGUUAGCAUCACCAUCAUUGUCGAAUGUCCGGUAUGAACAAUCCAACACUACAUCGUCAUGCCGUACACGGUUUCCUGGGAGCUACCCCAUCAUCAUGUCUUCAUGACCUUGUUCCAUUCGCAGAACCAAGUCACGGUAAUGCGGGGGCUUUAGGAAUAGUGAAUAUAACAAGACUUCACAUGAUUUUACUUCCAUAAUCAUUCCAAAAUUAAUUCAUAAUUAAUCCUUAAUUAAUCAUAAUUAACUUUUAAUUAAUCCUAGAUUAAUCCUUAAUUAAUCUCAUAUUAAUCUUUAAUUAAUCCAAGAUUAGUACUUAAUUAAUCAUGAUUACUCUUUAAUUAAACCAAGAUUAAUCCUUAAUUAAACCAAGAUUAAUCCUUAAUUAAACCAAGAUUAAUCCUUAAUUAAACCAAGAUUAAUCCUUAAUUAAACCAUGAUUAUUUCAUAGUUAAGAUUAGUACUUGUUCACAAGUACUAAGAUGAGGAUUAACCUUACUUUAACAUUUUGAUUACUCUUAUGUAUAGUUCACAAUAAGUAAACAUAACACCACUCUUAUAAACUUGAGAGACUUUACUAAAUUAAUCAAUCUCAACAUCUAUCUAGACUCACCUAAGAGAUUAGUCUUGGAACUGGUUGGAUACCUAAGGCCUUACUCCACCUCUGACCUGAAACAUAAGUGAAUGACUACAAGAUCAGUUUGGUUCAUGCUUUAACACCUUAGAUCAAAUCAGUUCAAGCUUGGUUCCACUCAAACUAUACUAGUUCAGCUUGGUUCUAGUCAGUCUACCAAAGUUCAGGACAAGAUCAGACUGAGUUCAAAUUGGUUUAAUCAAAGCCAGAUCAGAACAUCAUAGCUGGUGGUUCUAAGAGGUUGAUUCAAACCGAAAUUACUCAAAAUCUGAACUAUAUCACCACUUAGAGAACUGAUCCGACCAAGUUCUUAUGUAAACAUCAACUAGCUCUGAUCAAGACAUGACUGAGGUAAGAGACCAAAGCUUACCAAGAUGAACCAAAGGACUAGAUGGCCUCAGCUGAUCCUCUUUUCCAAGGUAAGCUUGUGGCUGGACUGAUCAAAGAGAAAGAUCAAGGUCUGAUCAUGAUCUGAACUCAACUAGGUCUAGGGUUUUAUUUAAAAAUCUCACCUUCUGAUCUUUCUCAAGGUAACAAACUGAGCUAAGGUUGAAGAUUAGGUCACCACCAAUUUGUUUUUGAUUUAUUUUCCUGAUUUUUCUCUUUCUCUCUGAAAUUCUCUAGGUUUUUCUGCAGGGUUCGGAACGUGGCAAGCAGCUGGAGAGGGGUUAAAUAUGAGGUGAGCUUGCUUCAGGUGAGGGUUUCACUCAGGACAAAGCUAAGCUGAGUGGGGACAGCUGGCCAGCUGCUUCAGCACUCUCAGCACAAGCUGCUGUCCUUUCCUUAACCUGAAGAAACUCCAGCCCUUUCAUGUGCUUCUCACAUGACAAUCUAAGAAACAAGGAAAGCAGGCAGCUUGUGGUUGUCAUGUGACAGUUACUGAAGAAGCUAGGCAAGCAGGCAGGUGCAAGUCAUGUGAUUAAAGACUGAGCAAGCAGGCUGGUGGAAGACAUGAGUCUGGUCCAAAAUUAAUUGUACCAGUUGGUUGAUAAUUUUCAAUAAUUUUUCAACCAAAUAUUCCUUGUCUUUGGCUCUCGUCUUGUUCUCGGAAAAUCUCUUCCAGUUUAAUAAAAAUUCGACCAAAAUAUUUAAGACUCGACCAAACUAUCAAGUGAAGGUCUUUCAACCACAAGACAGUCCCUUCGAGGAAUUAAUCUACCGGGUCGAUUUUUAUUUUUAUUAAUCCUUGUUGAACCAACUAAAAACUGGUCGAGCGGGAUUUUUCUCGACCAAAAAUUUAUUGGCUCAUUAGGGUUAUUACAGUGUCGUCGAUGGAUACAGAAGAGAAGCCUCGACGAUUGAAGAUUGAGAUCGAUCAAUGUACAUCCUGUACCAUCGCUAGAUGUACAUCCUCUACCAUCGCUCGAUGCCGGAACGCGGAAGCAGGACUUGGUUCCAUCCAACUUUAAACCCAAGACUUCACCAAAUUACAAGAUUACCCCUGACGAGUUUUUAACCUAAUAGAUAUAUACUUGCCUAAGUGUUAGGAGGCAGAGGAGCUUGAAGCCACCUUUGUAUUCUUAUUUUCAGCAGAGAGUUAUAAGAGAGAAGAUCAUAGAGAGAUUUGUGACUGGAACUCCAUUGAUUCAUCUAUUCUAUUCUAUGCAGUUUUUAUUUACAUUUUGUGUCACGAAUUGCUUAGCUAUGUUUGUGUAGUUUACUGUUGGGGUCAAAAUCGGUCACGACCAAAUCAAUGUCUGAAAGUCCGUAAAAAUCAGCAUGAACAUUUUUACGAAAAGUAAUCCUCGUAAAGAUAUCUUUACGAAGAGCCUUGCGGUAAAAUCUUGUUCAAAUCUCAAUCGAACCACUAAAUACGAUUGUCCGAAGGCAACAGACAUAUAUCCAAAUCGGCCGCGGACAAGCUCGAGUAUGGCAAUCGGACUGCAGACAAGACAAGCUUGAUCGAUACGCGGCGACGAAGCAUGCACACAGCUCGGUCGCUACGUAGCGACCGAGCUCGAGCCCAGCAUGGUCGCUACGUAGCGACCGAGCGUCCGUCCUGCUCGGUCGCUACGUAGCAACCAAGCGUCCGUCCUGCUCGGUCGCUACGUAGUGACCGAGCUCGAGCCAAGCUCGGUCGCUACGUAGCGACCGAGCGACCGAGCGUCCGUCCCGCUCGGUCGCUAUGUAGCAACCGAGCUCUUCCAAAACGUCGAUACGACACCAGUCCAUGCAUUCUCUUACAUCCUUCAAUGCUAUCUCCCGAAGACUGUAGCGAACUCAGUUCAUGUUUUCCGUCAUUCUAAAUCAUCGAUCAAACAUUGCGGUAAAAACCGCGGAAAGUCCGUUCUUUAUCAAAAGAAGUCGCAAUAAACGUUUCGAGUCGGAAUACGGCCCAAAGGGACCUAAGACACGACUCGAGACCCAUCUUACGAUUUCUUAACCAAAAGUCCGUAAACCGUAGGACGGUUUAUGCUUGGUUCGCAAGGGAAGAUAAAUGUCAAGUUUCCGCGGAUAAAUACGGACUUUUGAAGAUAAUUACGAAGAUCGGAAAAAAUGGAAUAUCUCCAUUUUAUGCUAUGACGGCUUAAGGGCAGAAGAGUAAAAGCGUAAACUGACCUUGGAGCAAGUAUAUAAGGAGUCCUAGGCGAGAGGCAUGAAAAGAGAACUUUUUAGACUCGGAAUUCUCUGCACUUAGAAACUUUAGGCUUUAUUCUCGACAAGUUCGGUUUCUAUGACUGGCACUCAAUUACUAGACGAACUCGCCCAGGCAGUUCGAUCUCUUGUCCAGCUCUAUCAAUUGAACUACGUUCGGCUUGAUCCUCUAAAGGGGUACGUAGGCAGCCUUUAACAAGGUUCAGUCCGAAAUCAAUCAAAAACCUUUUCUGUAUCUAUUUCGUCUUUUGUUAUCGAGCUGCGACUCAACUAGGUUUGAGCUAUUAGGCCGCUAGAACUAAGUAACUCGCUGACAGCCUUUGCGGCCAAAGUUUUUAUGAUCUCUUGUAAUGAUCGCAACGCUCUUACGCGGACUCGAAAAAAGAUCCACUGUUUUCUCUAAACUCGUUUGUUAUCUUUUCAUGAUUUCCGCAUAUAUUUGGUCACUUGUCGUUGGCUCUCGCAGAGAUCCGGGACCUCUGGGAAAUUAGGGUUUUCCUAGUUUCCCAAUUUAAACGGAAAUCGACAGUGCAAAUUUCGGUUCCCACAUUUACUUGUUAGAUUCAGGGUUCAAAUAGGUUAGAUGGAUUAGCCCCAACUAUAGAUUGCUAGGUUGUGGUAUUCAUUGAUUGAUUGUUCUUAAUGCUUGUUCUAGAUUAGCUACCUAGAAUAUUGAAUCUAGGAAUCUGCAUGAGUCAAGCAUCCUUGACCAUCCAGUCCUGAACCUAAUCUGUCAUACUAGACAACUGGAAAAAGGCUACCGCUGAACUAGGAAGCUAGUGAGCAUUAUCAACUUACGCCUAAGGCUUAACUAGAAGCAUCAAUUGAUACUGUCUUCUGACAAUCGAUCGAUAUUUGUGAAAGGUGUAUCGAUCGAUAUCCCUAUAAGACCAUUGAUCGACACUUUCUUAUGAUCAAUAUACUACAGUUGAGAUCAAAGAUCUAGUUAGUUAACCAGUGAAACAUUACCAUCGCUGAUCACUGUGUCUAAGGGGUGGAGCUCUAAUAUAUCAUGCAUGCAACUGAUAGACAUCUAUAGGAUUAUAAUCUCCAACACCUGAAUAGAAACCCUGCAUCUAAUUCCUUUCCAAUAAGUUACACCCCCAAAUCAUCUGUUAGUCGAGGAAUAGACUUUCUCAAUUAGGAUUGCUAUUUACUUUAAAACCAUAAAACAAUAAAUAUUGGAUUUAAUAGGUUCCCUAGCUCCUUGUAUAUUCGAUCCCUAAGUACUAUAAUUGAACCUCUUAUUUGAGAGAGUAAUUCUUUCCUUAGGGUAAUUUGGGUGGUAUCAGUAUUAAGUCGAAAAUUUCUAAACUUUUCAUUCAUGUUAGGGUUAAGUUAGAAGAUGAACUAGAAGCGGGAUCUUAGGGCUUAUAUAGAUUGAUUUGUGCUGAUGGUACGAUAGAAUAGGGAUUAUGGAUCGAUUAUCAAUAAUUACUAUGCAAUGCAAUCCGAAUUUGUGUUGAUUGGGGUUUUACAGGUUUUCGCGAUGGAAAUCGAUCGAUGAUACUCACUUUCAUCAAUCAAUUUUACCGCUGAUAUAUCAAUCGAUAUCGACACAUAAUUAUCGAUCGAUAUCGAGCACUGAACUAUUACGAUUUGCUGAUUUUGUAUCCUUGUUUGUGAACUUUGGUUGCAGAUGAAUGAAAGGAGAAUGAAGAGGCGAUUCGAUAGAGACGCCACCAGCGCUGCUCCCCCAUCACCGGUUCGCGACCAACACCCUUGGCCACGAGAGCGGGAGAACGACCCCAUCCCCCUCUUUGAUCACUUCACUGACCCUCGUGCUGCGGCCAAAAGCUUGGAAUGCAAGAACCGUGCGAUCAGGGACGAGUGGGACGACUAUGACAGCAUAUUCUACAAUGAGUGCAUAUUCUACAACGACCCCUGCCGACGCGAGAGUUGUUAGAUUAUUGUUAUUGUUUGAGUUCUAUAAUAUCUUUAAAGAAACAGUUAGCCUCCAUAUCAUUACAAUCCUGAUUACAUGAAUUGAAACCCUAGAUCUAGCAACCAUCCUUCCAUCAAACAACUCCCUGCCAAGCUGAACAAUUGUCUUGUUCAACUUGUUUACUGCUUUGCUAUAUUUAUUUACUACUUUAAAACUAUUAGCCUAGCUUAAUCAUUAACUGUUUAGAUCUAAUUAGUUCCCUAGCUCCCUGUGAAUUCGAUCCCUAAGUACUACAACUAGACUCUUAUUUGAGAGAGUAUGAAUCACUCAUUAGGGUAAUUUCAGUGGUAUCAUAAAGACUAUUACAUGACAAGCUCAUCGCAAGGGAUCAUUCAAUCCAUUGAACAAACAAUUCUGAAGCAUCGGAAGAACCGAACCAGCAUCAUCCGACCCGCCAUCGGGCGAGUUGGAUGAACCACUCCCAACUCGCCCAACGGCGAGUUGGAUCAGUCCAAUACCAUUUCUUACGAAAAAUCGGCCCAAAGUCACUAUGACGGUUUAUCGAAUAUUCGUGAGAAGAGAAAAGUCAAGUUGGAAGAUAAAUGUCAAGUUCGGAGAUAAAUGUCAAGUUUCAAAGGAUAAUCAUGAAGAUUGGAAAAAAUGGAAUAUUUCCGCGAGAAGAUAAACUCGACCCAAACCGAGCUAGAAGGCGCAACGAGAGAACUUUACACAGAGAAAAUUUAGUACUGAGAGCAAUUUAGGUAUUUUUCCAUUUUUGUUAUCAAGAUGCGACUCAAUUAGGCUUUCAGUCUUAGGCAUUAGAACUAGGAACUCGCCAAUAUACAACCUUAGCUUCUAUACUAUUAUAAUCCGGAUUACCUGAAUAGAAACCCUAAGACUAACGCUUUCUCAUAUCGUUUACAAAUCUCAAAACCAACCAACUGAACUACUGUCUUGUUCACCCUGCAAUUUAUUAUUUACAUUUUAAACCUAUCUUAAUCACAAAAUGUUUAGAUAUAUUGUGUGCCCUAGUUCUUUGUGGGUUUGAUCCUUAAGUACUGCAAUUGAACCUGCUAUUUUAGAGAGUAAAUCACUCUUUAUGGUAAUUUGAGUAAUAUUAGAAGACAAUCCAUCAUUAAACGGUAUUGGCAAUGAUAAAUGAAAGAAAAGGCCGCGGGUGGAAGUGGUGGAAGUGAUGAAAGUAAAGUAUAGCAUACAUAAGUAUGUAUUAGAAUUAUGGUGGUUGCAUAUGUUGAUGAUGUCUUUCGUGAUGAUUGUUAUUUUGGGGUUUGUGGUGAAUUCAUUACGGGGGUAGUGGCAACAAAACUCACUGAGAAAAUUAGAUGGUUGUUUUUCUGGUAACCAUUAGGUGUCUUCUCGUACUGGAGGAGCUUAGGCUGAGAUGAUGUAGAGUUAUUCCGUUUUUAAAAUGCAAGUAUAUGUUUAGUAUAUAUGGUAAUGUUUUGAGCGCUGAUUUCCCAGCUGGACCUAUAUCUGUCUUGGGGUUACAUGUGAAAAUUAAUAAUAUAUCAAUAAAUAGAUUUUAUGAUAAGUUUCGUAUGAUAGUUGGUCUUGGUCUGUAACAAACUAACUACUGAAUUUAUCUCGGGUUGACAAGCCUUGACUAUGUUCACUAGGAGAUGUGUGCUUGGACGUUGAUAUGGGGUCUCUGGAUUUGUUUUGAGAACCUCAUUUAGAUAUCUAUGCGCAUGUCUGUGGCAUCUUCAAUAUGAUUCGGUUUUAGUGAUUGUUCGUGGAUGUUCUUGUUUGGUUGUUGUACGGCUAAACAAGUCAACUUUGACCUAGACCAAAUUGGGGGUGUUACACUCAUUGUUUGGAAUCUUGAUUACAUCUUGAGAUUCCAUUUGGGGGUUGAUUCACACCCUUUGAGCCUUCAUUUGGGACCCGAGGGUUCCUAAAAAGGCCAAUCAUGAAUAAAUGGGCGUAAAUGGGAAUCUUUAUGUUUAUUUUUAUCAUGAUUGAAUCGAAUAACAAGUCAGAGAAUAUACACCAGAUCGAAAAAUCAAGGCCACAUCUGAAAGAAGAGGAUUUAGAGAGCUCAUUUAAUCUGCAAAAGAGAGAACUGAAAUACAACAGUGAAAGUUGUUCUCUAUAUAUAGUGAUUUGAUGUUGUAUACGAGGCGACACAAUCAUUAGGUUUAAUAACCUAAAAAGGCUGCCCAUUUCUUAAGUAGACUGAGUCAAGGUUCAGUCUGGUCCAAUCUAGCCAGAACAAACCGAUGCUCAAAGCAGUUUAUCUUGAAUACAAGUUCAGAAAAGGAAUGGGCAGAUAAAUCUACGUAAAUCUUUUCGGUCGGCUGAAUUGGAAAUUCAUCCUAACUAACUUAUAUUAGUCCAUUCAUAAAAGCCCUACGAAUGGAGUUUCAAAGGCGUAAAAAUGAAGGAAAACGGCAAAGCGGAUGAGUGUUUCGAUAAUGACUGUCAGGUUCUCCAACCUUCUGCGAUGAGUUUUUUAAGUAAUUUCUUAGUUCUUGUGGACUGACUAAGAAAUGAUAUUUUAUCAUUUAAGACUGCUUGCUCUGCCAUGUAGUUUUGAAAUUUUUGAACUGGACCGCCGACUUUGCUCUCAUUUCGGCCUCGACCUUGGCAACACAUUCCACACAAGACAGACGUAUUCGAAUUCUGUCAGACAUGAAAGUAAGAAUAACUCCGUUUCGGCAGUAAUAGAAGCAACUCCCUCCAUAUCAGCAUUCUGUUCAGCAACAGUUUUAUUCUUCUCUAUGGCCAUCUUCUUGUCACGCUCCCUUAAAAGAUUCAUUUUGCCAAUAAACGCUGAGAAGAAAUUACCUCUAUUUAUGUUGUUUGUUUCUGCGGAUUUACAUCUCUCCUUGUUUCUGCUGAUUUAACCUAGUUUUCAUAAAGUUUCAUACGAUUCUCUUGUAAUCGUCUUUUUGAUCAUCAAUAAACGUCUUUCAAAUAAUAUGUCAUCGAAUUUUUUCAUACUUCCAAUAUGUGCCAAAUUAUGAUCCAACAUUAAACAUACCAAAUAAUUAGUUUAUUGAGAUUAAUUUUGAGAAUUUGAGUUCAAAUUUUUUUCUUAUAAACUCGAAUAGCAAAAGGUUGUUUGAUGAAAAAAAACUAUUAUUAUUAUAUCAUAUUAAACUAUAUUUUCUGUUAUGAACUGUAUCUGCAUUAUUUAUUAGAUUUUUAUUAUUUAAACAUUUUAUUUUAUUGUAUAUAUGUUCUUAACACUCCUAAUUUCAAAAUACAUUUAAGAAUUUGGUUUCCAUUUAUAAUGUUUCCACUUUAUUACAUUGAUAUUUUAAUUUUAUGAAGUUUUUUAGUAUAGAAACACUAUAUGGUUUUUAGAGCCUGGAGAAGCAAAACAGACAGCAGACUGUAUAAGUUUGGGUAUUUUCACAUGUUCCUUCAAAUUUAGAUAUUUUCCCAAUUCAUUCACUUUUCAUAAACAUGGAUCAUCUUUUUGGCGAGUAUCUCGCAACUGGAAGACCAUCAAUACGCCUGGAUUUUAUGGUACAUUAAGAAAUCACGAAAUACAAAAAAAAAUUAGUUAUUUGGAUGUAGAUCCCAGAGACACUCUUAAUUUGGCAGAGACAGAAUCAGUCCUACGGACAGAGGCUCAAGAGGCAAUUGUACAGAGGAUUGAUAGCUCUAGAGAGUUUUAUGGAUUUGACUUUACCUUCUAUCUCAGGAAGAUGGUGUUUUACUGAUGGAUCAUGGAAAUAACAUGAUAAUUUCUGGGGACAAGGUUGGAAUAGUACACUUGGUUUUGAUGGUUUGAUGGGAGCAAGGAAUACUAGGUCUAGUCUCUCACCAUUACAUUUGGAGAUAGAGGCUUUGAUUUGGGCAAUGAAAUGUAUGAGGAACUUAUGAAGAAUUAUUUUUAAUUGGUGAAGAUGGUUUCAGAACCAAAUGAUUGGCGAGUGUUUCCAAGCAAUCUAGAAGAUAUGAAGAACCUCAAAGCAAGUUUCACAUACUCGGUGCUUAUCCGUAUCCCAAGAACUCAAAAUAAAACAGCGGACAAGCUCGCAGAAGGUGCAAGAAAGCAACUGUUAUUUAUCGUUCACAUGGAUAUAUAAUACCAGUUUGGUUGAUAAAGUCUAUGUGAGUCUGUUCAUGUUGAUGACAAAAAAAAAAGAUUGUAUAUACUUUGGUAAAGAUUUAUGUUUGUUGGUUACUUUAUUCUGAUAUAGAUUCACAACACAAUUCUUGUUUCAAAUUAUGUCACAAAAAUGACUAUAUAAAAUUGUGUUCCUGAGGGGGAAACGGUAAUUUAAUACCAAACAUAUCGCGAUAUGUUCAAUUCAUAGCCGAUUUAUAUGGUCGUGAUAAAACAUACCUGAACUUUCAAAACGUUCAAAUAACAUAUCUAAUUUUUAUUUUAUUUUUAAAUGUAUAUGUGGCAUCCCCGUGAGCAAAAUUAGCUAACAUAGCAUCUAAAUCAGCAAAAUUAGAUGAUGUGGCGACUGAUGUAUGCUUUGACUUAGGAAAUAAACAUUAGAUAUGUUAUUUGAUUUUUUUGAAAGUUUAGGAAUGUUUUAACACUAAAAUAUAAGUCGGAUAUGAAUUGAACAUAGUGUAAUAUGUUGGGUAUAAAAUGACCGUUUUCUCGUUCCUGAGGCAUGCGGGCGUAAUUUUUUUUUCUUUUUUUUUUUCCUCUCUAAGCUCUAGAACAAAUUCUUCUUAUUUUGCAAAUUUUAAUACGUAGUCGUCCUACACGAGUGCUCAUCAUUUCUUAAUUUAUGCAUAAUUAAUGUUUUUUAUGAGAUAGAUGGCGAUUCACUUUUUCUUUCCAUAUUAUUGUAGAUUUAACUUUAACCAAGAAAUUCCCUUAUCCAUAUCUGAUAUAAUACCAGACCAAAUACAUGUUCUAAAUUUGAAUCCCAAAUAUGCUGCUAGAAUCAGGUGACACGACUGAACUGUAGUAUAUUGUGGGAACAAAUUAUUUUAUGAGUAAUUUUAUUGGUUAAGAACUAAACAAUAGAGUAUCUCCAAUAAUACUUUAUUUUCUUCUCUAAACAUCAAAUAUAGAAUAAAAAUCAAUCAAAUGUAACAUUACUACACUAAUAUAGAAUAAUGAACAAUAUUCCUCCAAAUAUAUAGUAACAAUGUUCAUUUACUCUAGUUUUAAGUGAAAAUUUUUCUUUACAAAAUGAUUCUUAUAAGUUUUUAUUUUUCUCCUUUUUGAUAAAUGAAUUUUCAUUUUCUACCAAAUGGAACUAUAUAGUGUAACUUUCACAUUUAAAUACCAUGUUUAGUAUGCCAUUUGUUUUAAAUUAUUUGUUGUAAGAAAAACUUAAUUUCAAAAUAAUCAUUUAUUAGUAUGAAUAGAUUAAUUGUGUUAGUAUACUGAUAAAAUGAAAAAGUGAAAUUUUUAAUAUUUUAUAAGAUUUAGACUGCAUAAUAAAAUUAAAAAAAAACAAUUUAAAAUAUAAAAUAGAGGUAAUCAUUGAUCAAAAUCUUUUCCUAUUUUUAGAGUACUUUAUUUUUAGAAUUAUAAAUAGAGGCAACUUUUGGAGAUUGUUCAUUUUAUGGUUUUCGUGUCAAGAAUUAUUCUUCUGCCAUAGAAAAAUUUAUAUCUAAGAUAUGGAAACAAUUUCAUAAUUAAGAAGUAUACACUGGUUUAUUCCAAUAUGCUGUACUCUUGGGUUAAAAAUCGAUCAAACAUUACUUUGAUCUUGGGAUUCUUGUCUUCUGUUGCAUAGUAUCACUAAAAAACAAUAUUACUUUAUCAUAAAAUAAGAAAUAUAUUAUAACGUAGAAAUGUUUGAAAACAUUAGAAUAACAAAAAGAAAGGGAAAGAAAGGAUAGGAUAACCAAAGUGGAUGUCCUGAUAAUCAAUAAUGGCAUUAUGCCGCACAUCUAAGAAUAAUUAUUCUAGGAGAGUGUGUUUUGUUGGUUUCCGAUUAAUGUCGUUUGGAAUAAGAAGUGGGAUUUUUAUUCGUUCCCCAAAUGAUAUCAUGUCUUAGUGCUCCAGUAUGACGUAAUAAAAUCCACAUAGCCUUGCACUUAACUUAAUUGUAUAACAACUAAGCACUUUAUCGAGGACCUCAGAGGUUUGAUGGAGUAAAAUCGGUAUGCUACAAUAGCCUUUUAAAGGUAUUUUUUACCAUACAUAUAUAUAUAUAUAUACACGAAAAACCAUUCUAUUAUUCAAAUAAAAAAUAGUUUAAGAAACCAUAUCAAAAUAGAAUAACCAAUAAAACAAAAAAUUCUUAUAAUAAAACGAACAGUUUUAGGUAACAAAUCAACAAUCCUCCAAGCAUUGUUAUUUCUUUCAACCUGUUGAUAAUGUCAUCCAAGCCUAAGGAUCCUUAGCAUUGCUAUCAAAUCUUUGCAAUUUGUUCCAAAAUUCUGUCAUGUAGAAUGAUUUAGCAUUUUUUUUCUAUUGUCCCGCUUAAUUGUUUUAUUUCUGAAUGCAAAGCAGAUUAUCUUUGUCAUUGAUAUCUGAUACACAUAGAUUCGGUUUUGUCAAAAAAAAUCUUUCCAAACUGAUCUAUAAAAACUAAAGAUCGAUGUGGAUGUCCACGAACUAUCUACCAAAUAUAUGUUCUCCAAGCAUAAGGCUUGCGAAUAUAACAAUGAUGUUUAUGUCAAAAUAUCAUUUGGUGCAUUUUCCACGAACCAAGCAUGACAUUCUCGUUCUGUAUAUUUGAUCAGCUCAAGUGGGUCAUUUUCAAUUCCUCUGAAUAAUUUUACAUUUCUACAUUUCUACAUUUCUAGAGAUACCAAAUUAUCCACAAAUAUGGAUAUCUAUCUAUUUCUGGAUCUUCAAUAAUAUUUAUCACCAAAAGAGAUAAUUCAUAUGGGUGUAUAUGCUAAAACAGGGAAAGUGUUUGGAUGAGAUGGUGUCACUAAUAGGUCCCUCGCUUGUAAAUCAAAAGACAUUCAAAACUAUCAUGAAUCGCAAAAUCAUCAUUUUCCCUCAUAUAAGACAUAUAUUAUCGCAUCGUACAUGACGAUGUGUCAAAUUCCUUGUGACCUCCACAUGACGAUGUGUCAAAUUUCUUAUGACCUCCACAUGCCAUGUAAGAUGCACAAUUACUAUGAGGCAAGAAUGAAAGAAAUAAGGAGGAAUGAAGGAAGACGAGAUCACAUUAGUCCUCACCUUGGCUGGCCUUAGACCUGCGAAUGGAAAAGAGGAAGAAGUAGAUCUGCAGCUUAUGAUUUUUAAGCGAGAAUGAAAGAAAGAAGAGUAGAUCACAUCAGUCCUCACCUUGGCCUUAAAUCUGUGAAUGGAAAAGAGAGAGGAAGCAUAUCUGCAGCUUAUGACUUUCCACAAACCAGAUAUACAAAGACAAGAGUAAGUGCUACUACCCUAACAACAGGGAUGAGAGAUCUAAGAGAAAGAACAAGAAACAGAUAAGUAAAAGCAAGAAAUGGGGUUUCUUACCCUCACCGAUGACCAUAUCUCGAAGGAAGACACGACAAAUCUAGGCAAUGAGAGAGAUCGACUAGUUUUCUGGAUCUCUAAUAUAUUGGCUUCGCCUCGACCAGCAUGAGAGCAAUACGCCACAAACAAUGGCUACCUCCUUUCAUGGUGACCAUAACGAAAAUAAGAUAAGAAGAGAAUGAAGAAGAGAAUAAGAAGAACAAGACCUAGAAGAAUAACGAGAAGCAAGCAACUAAAACAUUAAAGUGACAGAGCUUUGCUGUGUUUUUCUUGAUGGGGGCUGCCUUCUUUUAAUAGGAAAAGAUGAAGAAACCUUAGGGCUUACUACAUGGGCCAAAAAUAAAAGAGAAAAGGUUAAAAGGCUUUUGAACAAAACAAGUUAAUUAUUAUUUUUUUUAAACAAAACAAUCCCGAUUUAAGAGAAUUGGGAUGUGACAACUCUCCUGCGCUUAAUAGGGAAUUCACCCCAAAUUUCAGCAGAACCCAGAAUAACUCAGCUGUUAAAAAAAGGAAAUUCUUUGGGUCAUAUGUGUUUGAGUCGUUACUGACCCUCUAGUUUAGGACUAGAAAGUCUUUCAUGGGCUCUAAUACAACUUGUGACAUCCGGACCUAGUGUAACUGAAAAGAUCGGCAAUAUCAGGACACUUGUCUCCAGCCAGAAGGCUCGAAACAAUAUGUCUUUCAACAAAGUAGUGUCGGGGACACCUUGGACAAAAACCAAACAAUUAGAACUGAGCUUGGAAGAGGAAAAGGAAGGACAAACACCAAACAAAGUAGUUUCCAUAACACCGUGAGUUUCACGCCUCUCCUAUUUUCCUGUGAGAACUCACCACCUCAUGUGGUCUUCGUGAGUUCCACGCCUUUACUCGGUCACGCCACAUCAUGUUGUUCCCACCUGAUCCGCGCCACCACAUUCACACGAUCAAGUCGCACCACACUGUCUCCACAUGAUAGUGCUACCACAUGCUUAACUUUACACACAUGCACGUUGCAUGCCCGCUCGGAUGAUGAAUCAUGGCAGCUUAUUUGGUCCCCGCAUGACCCAAGAAACGAUGCAACGCCCGAGAACUCUCAAUCACGUUGCACAAGCAUACAUAGGCCUUAAUCCCUUUUAUAACUCAUAUAUUCUACUCAGACAUACUUAAUCACCACACAAUGCAAACAUCCGCAUACAAGUCUCAAUUAUCAAACAAUCAUAUUCAUUUUAGCAAUCUAUGAGUAAAUCUAGGUGUUCACACAUUACAAUACAAUAUAUAAGUGUAGCAUAUAUAUGAUAUAUUUACUUAUCAAACAAAUACGUGUAUGCUAAUAGAUACCACAUAGGUAUGUAUGAUUUAGAUAAAUACUUCUACAGUGAAAGAUCGCAACAGUCCUCACCUUUAUCUUCGAAUGGAAAAGAGAGAAGAAACAGAUCUACAUCUUAUGACUUUCCACGAACUAAAUUUACAACAACAAGGAUAAGUACUACUAACCAAAGAUUCGGGAUGAGUUAUCGAAUACAAAGAACAAGAAAGAGACAAGUAAAAACAAAAGGUAUGAUAUCUUACCCUCACCGGUCAUCAGAUCUAGAAGGAAAACAAGAUAGA